rnacentral:snRNA from 13 species
AUCGCUGCUCUGCCUUUUGGCAAAGAUCAAGUGUCGUAUCUUCUUAUCAGUUUAAUAUCUGAUACCUAUCGGUGGACUACAUAUUAAACGCUCC